rnacentral:rRNA from 1 species
UUGCAUAUUCAAAUAAGCGGAGGAAAAGAAACCAACAGGGAUUGCCUCAGUAACGGCGAGUGAAGCGGCAACAGCUCAAAUUUGAAAUCUGGCCUCUUUGGGGUCCGAGUUGUAAUUUGUAGAGGAUGUUUCGGGCACCGCUCCGGUUUAAAUUUCUUGGAACAGAAUGUCAAAGAGGGUGAGAACCCCGUCUUGGACCGGCAGUAGGGCCCAUGUGAAACUCCUUCGACGAGUCGAGUUGUUUGGGAAUGCAGCUCAAAAUGGGUGGUAAAUUUCAUCUAAAGCUAAAUAUUGGCCAGAGACCGAUAGCGCACAAGUAGAGUGAUCGAAAGAUGAAAAGCACUUUGAAAAGAGAGUUAAACAGUACGUGAAAUUGUUGAAAGGGAAGCGCUUGCAACCAGACUUGCGCGCGGCGGUUCCCCCUUCCUUUUGGUUGGGUUAUUCCGCCGUGUCCAGGCCAACAUCGGUUCUGGGGGUCGGUUAAAGGCCUGGGGAAUGUAUCUACCCUUCGGGCGUAGACUUAUAGCCCCGGGUGUCAUGCGACCUCCCGGGACCGAGGAACGCGCUUCGGCUCGGAUGUUGGCGUAAUGGUUGUCAGCGACCCGUCUUGAAACCACGGACCAAA